rnacentral:rRNA from 1 species
AAUAAGCUAUUUAAGAGCGUAAGGUGGAUGCCUUGGCUCUCAGAGGCGAUGAAGGACGUGAUAAGCUGCGAUAAGCUGCGGGGAUUGGCACACACAAUUUGAUCCGUAGAUUUCCGAAUGGGGCAACCCACUAUAUUGAAGAUAUAGUAUCCGUUAAGGAAGCAAACCCAGGGAACUGAAACAUCUAAGUACCUGGAGGAAUAGAAAACAAAAGUGAUUCC